UUGCAACUCACUUGAGUUAAUAAAAAUGUAAAUUCUAGGAAGAAUCAUCCAGAACACAGAGGAGGAGGCUUCUGGGCCAAUGUACCACUGCUCCCAGCACAGAGGAGGUGAGCUGCACAGGCAGCAGCAGAACCCCCCCAACCCCCCCAUCAAAAUAAGAAGACACAUAAACAAGCCUCAAGACCAGACUUUCAGAUCACCUACAGCAACCUCAAAGGGAAACAAGAUGGAACACUCUGAUACUCAACCACCUGGACUCCCUGAACUGGCAACAAAAGAGGAUCUGGAAAAAAUGAAAUCAGAAAUAAUUUCAAAGAUAACAGCAGAGAUUGUGCCCAUAGUGCAAGACAUGAUUGAUAAAUCUAGAGAGGAGCUGAGGAACAUAAUGGAAUCCCAACAUAGGAAACAAAUGGAUUCCAUAAAGCAAAAACAAACAGAUUUCCAGGAGAUUAAAAACUCCAUUGAAAGUUUGCGCAGCAGAAUGAGGCAAUGCAAGGACAGAACUUAAGAUAUAGAAGAUGAGAUUGCAGUUAGUGACCAGGAAAAGAAAAAUUGCUUAAAAAUUGUAGGGGACCAUGAGAAAUCAAUCCAACAACUGGUAGAUGAUGCAAAGAAGAAUAACAUAAGAAUGAUCCAAGUCAGUGAAGAAAGAGGACAGAAUGCAGAUGACAUAAAAAAAAACUGUUCACAGAAGUGAUGGCAGAAAAAUUUCCAAGCAGGGGAAAAGAACUUCACAUACAUAUAUAGGUCUCCAACAAGCCUUGAUCAAAAAAAAAAUCUACACAUAGGCAUAUAAUAGUUAAAAUUCCAGAAACCCAACAGAAGAACAAAGUCUUACAAGCAGUGAGAGAAAAGAAACAAAUCACAUAAAAAGGAAAACCCAUCAGAAUCACAGCAGACUUCUCACCGCAAACCCUCAAGACAAGAAGAGUUUGGAGUGACUUAUUUUAUGUCCUAAAGGUAAACAGCCUCCAACCCAG
rnacentral:lncRNA from 1 species